rnacentral:rRNA from 1 species
AGGACCUACGGGACGCAGCAGUCGGGAAUCAUUCACAAUGGGGGAAACCCUGAUGGUGCGACGCCGCGUGGGGGAAUGAAGGUCUUCGGAUUGUAAACCCCUGUCAUGUGGGAGCAAAUUAAAAAGAUAGUACCACAAGAGGAAGAGACGGCUAACUCUGUGCCAGCAGCCGCGGUAAUACAGAGGUCUCAAGCGUUGUUCGGAAUCACUAGGCGUAAAGCGUGCGUAGGCUGUUUCGUAAGUCGUGUGUGAAAGGCGCGGGCUCAGCCCGCGGACGGCACA